rnacentral:rRNA from 1 species
UUAAAGAGCCGCGGUAUUUUGACCGUGCGAAGGUAGCAUAAUAAUUAGUCUCCUAAUUAGAGGCUUGUAUGAAUGGUCGGACAAGAUGGAAACUGUCUCAGUACAAUAAAUAAAAUUUAAUAUUUAAGUAAAAAAGCUUAAAUGGAAUGGGGGGACGAUAAGACCCUAUAAAGCUUUAUGGUAGUUUCUUUUAAUAUGAAUUGUAUGAUUUCUAGUUUAUUGAAGAAAAAUUACUAUUUUACUGGGGCGGUAAAAGUAUGCUUUCGGUUAACUGCUUUUGUUUUUAAAAACAAACAUGGUUGGAAAUAAAUUGAUCCAUUAUUAAUGAUUAUAAGAACAAGUUACUUUAGGGAUAACAGCGUAAUUUUUCUUGAGAGUCCUUAUCGAAAGAAAAGUUUGCGACCUCGAUGUUGAAUUAAGGACGCCUUAGGGUGUAGCAGUUUUA